ACUCAACAGAUAAUUCUUUAAAGAGGGUGAGUCUAAGUUGUAAAAGCGCGCCGUUCCCUUUUAGGGAUUACGGAUUCUUGAUCAGCUUGUUAGCCCUAAACCUGAUUUUAAGGAGUUU
rnacentral:sRNA from 4 species